UACGUAGGGUGCGAGCGUUGUCCGGAAUUAUUGGGCGUAAAGAGCUCGUAGGCGGUCUGUCGCGUCGAUCGUGAAAACUUGGGGCUUAACCCUGAGCUUGCGGUCGAUACGGGCAUGACUGGAGUUCGGCAGGGGAGACUGGAAUUCCUGGUGUAGCGGUGAAAUGCGCAGAUAUCAGGAGGAACACCGAUGGCGAAGGCAGGUCUCUGGGCCAUAACUGACGCUGAGAAGCGAAAGCAUGGGGAGCGAAUAGG
rnacentral:rRNA from 1 species